rnacentral:rRNA from 1 species
GACGAACGCUGGCGGCGUGCUUAACACAUGCAAGUCGAACGAAGUGGCGAACGGGUGAGUAACGCGUAAUUAACCUGCCCUUCAGAGGGGGACAACAGUUGGAAACGACUGCUAAUACCGCAUACUGAAGGAGGGGAUUGCGUCUGAUUGGCUAGUUGGAGUGGUAACGGCCCACCAAGGCGAUGAUCAGUAGCCGGUCUGAGAGGAUGAACGGCAACAGUGGGACUGAGACACGGCCCAGACUCCGACGGGAGGCAGCAGUGGGGAAUCUUCCGCAAGGGACGAAAGGCUGACGGAGCAACGCCGCGUGAUGGAUGACGGCCGUCGGGUUGUAAAGCUCUGUUAAUCGUGACGCGGUACCUGAAUAGAAAGCCACGGCUAACUACGUGCCAGCAGCCGCGGGAAUAC